rnacentral:rRNA from 1 species
AAAAACCAGGGACGCAGCAGUGAGGAAUAUUGGUCAACGGUCGGGAGACUGAACCAGCCAAGCCGCGUGAGGGAUGAAGGUACAGAGUAUCGUAAACCUCUUUUGUCAGGGAACAAAGGCGGGGACGCGUCCCCGGAUGAGUGUACCUGAAGAAAAAGCAUCGGCUAACUCCGUGCCAGCAGCCGCGGUAAUACGGAGGAUGCGAGCGUUAUCCGGAUUUAUUGGGUUUAAAGGGUGCGCAGGCGGUCUGUUAAGUCAGCGGUCAAAGCCCGGGGCUCAACCCCGGCC